GGAUUAAUCCUCUAUAACAUCUUUUAAUUUCAUGAUUAAUUGAUUAAAGUUUUAACGGUAAAAGAUGGGCAUGCGUCCUAUUAGUUUGUAGGUGAGGUAACGGCUCACCUAGACUACGAUAGGUAGGGGCCCUGAGAGGGGGAUCCCCCACACUGGUACUGAGACACGGACCAGACUCCUACGGGAGGCAGCAGUAAGGAAUAUUGGACAAUGGACGAAAGUCUGAUCCAGCCAUGCCGCGUGCAGGAUGAAAGCCCUAUGGGUUGUAAACUGCUUUUAUACAGGAAGAA
rnacentral:rRNA from 1 species